rnacentral:rRNA from 1 species
UACAGAGGGGGCGAGCGUUAUUCGGAAUUAUUGGGCGUAAAGAGCGCGUAGGCGGCCCGGAAAGUCGGAUGUGAAAACCCGGGGCUCAACCCCGGGCCUGCAUCCGAUACUCCCGGGCUGGAGGCAGGUAGGGGAGAUCGGAAUUCCUGGUGUAGCGGUGAAAUGCGCAGAUAUCAGGAGGAACACCGGUGGCGAAGGCGGAUCUCUGGGCCUGUCCUGACGCUGAGGCGCGAAAGCUAGGGGAGCGAACAGG